rnacentral:misc_RNA from 1 species
GUAUUGUAUUGCGUUAAACGCGGCACACAUUCCAUGAGACUUCAUUACAUAGUGUAUGUGUAAAGACGUAGAACCGCAGCAGGAGGGCAGAGCCCCACAGGCCACAGAACUACGAAGGGUGCACAGGUGUGAGUGGAUGUGUAAACAGAGCGUGCACAUGCCCCUGUUUGAGGGCCAGCAACAACUCGUGUUGACAAUUCGGUAAUGAUCCUUCCGCAGGUUCACCUACGGAAA